ACAAACAGGAUCUCCUCGACUAACACCGACAGAUAAUAAAAAUCAUGUGAAACGAAAGGGUCAAACAACAACGCAACAUGUUAGAUCACCAAAUUCACCUUUGGAAGGUCAUUCUCCAAACGCACCCAAUGAAAAUGGUUCGUCGUUCCUACCACAUUCUCCAUCAUCGUCACCUGGUCAAGAAGAAAGUGUGGAGAGUCCUUCAGGUUCCGCUAGGGAAACACCUACAAACGAAGCAAGUUUCAUUGGAAGAUCACCAAAUAAUGAAGUACAUUUGAAAACAUCAAGUGGGGUUCCUUCGUCAACACCUACAAUUGGAAAAUCAAUUCCAUCGUUGGAACCACAACAAGAAGACAUGGCAUCUCCUCAACCAGUUUCUUCUCGACUAACACCGACAAAUAAUGAAAAUCGUGUGAAACGAAAGGGUGAAACGACAACGCAACAUGUUGGAUCACCAAAUUCACCUUUGGAAGGUCAUUCUCCAAACGCACCCAAUGAAAAUGGUUCGUCGUUCCAACCACAUUCUCCAUCAUCGUCACCUGGUCAAGAAGAAAGUGUGGAGAGUCCUUCAGGUUCCGCUAGGGAAACACCUACAAACGAAGCAAGUUUCAUUGGAAGAUCACCAAAUAAUAAUGAAGAUCAUUUGAAAACAUCAAGUGGGGCUCCUUCGUCAACACCUACAAUUGGUAAAUCAAUUCCAUCGUUGGAACCACAACAAGAAGACAUGGCAUCUCCACAAACAGGAUCUCCUCGACGAACACCGACAGAUAAUAAAAAUCAUGUGAAACGAAAGGGUCAAACAACAACGCAACAUGUUAGAUCACCAAAUUCACCUUUGGAAGGUCAUUCUCCAAACGCACCCAAUGAAAAUGGUUCGUCGUUCCUACCACAUUCUCCAUCAUCGUCACCUGGUCAAGAAGAAAGUGUGGAGAGUCCUUCAGGUUCCGCUAGGGAAACACCUACAAACGAAGCAAGUUUCAUUGGAAGAUCACCAAAUAAUGAAGAUCAUUUGAAAACAUCAAGUGGGGCUCCUUCGUCAACACCUACAAUUGGAAAAUCAAUUCCAUCGUUGGAACCACAACAAGAAGACAUGGCAUCUCCUCAACCAGUUUCUUCUCGACUAACCCCGACAAAUAAUGAAAAUCGUGUGAAACGAAAGGGUGAAACAACAACUCAACAUGUUGGAUCACCAAAGACACCUUUGGAAGGUCAUUCUCCAAACGCACCCAAUGAAAAUGGAUCGUCGUUCCUACCACAUUCUCCAUCAUCGUCACCUGGUCAAGAAGAAAGUGUGGAGAGUCCUUCAGGUUCCGCUAGGGAAACACCUACAAACGAAGCAAGUUUCAUUGGAAGAUCACCAAAUAAUAAUGAAGAUCAUUUGAAAAUAUCAAGUGAGGCUCCUUCGUCAACACCUACAAUUGGUAAAUCAAUUCCAUCGUUGGAACCACAACAAGAAGACAUGGCAUCUCCACAAACAGGAUCUCCUCGACUAACACCGACAGAUAAUGAAAAUCAUGUGAAACGAAAGGGUCAAACAACAACGCAACAUGUUGGAUCACCAAAGACACCUUUGGAAGGUCAUUCUCCAAACGCACCCAAUGAAAAUGGAUUGUCGUUCCUACCACAUUCUCCAUCAUCGUCACCUGGUCAAGAAGAAAGUGUGGAGAGUCCUUCAGGUUCCGCUAGGGAAACACCAACAAACGAAGCAAGUUUCAUUGGAAGAUCACCAAAUAAUGAAGAUCAUUUGAAAACAUCAAGUGGGGCUCCUUCGUCAACACCUACAAUUGGAAAAUCAAUUCCAUCGUUGGAACCACAACAAGAAGACAUGGCAUCUCCUCAACCAGUUUCUUCUCGACUAACACCGACAAAUAAUGAAAAUCGUGUGAAACGAAAGGGUGAAACAACAACUCAACAUGUUGGAUCACCAAAUUCACCUUUGGAAGGUCAUUCUCCAAACGCACCCAAUGAAAAUGGUUCGUCGUUCCAACCACAUUCUCCAUCAUCGUCACCUGGUCAAGAAGAAAGUGUGGAGAGUCCUUUAGGUUCCGCUAGGGAAACACCUACAAACGAAGCAAGUUUCAUUGGAAGAUCACCAAAUAAUGAAGAUCAUUUGAAAACAUCAAGUGGGGCUCCUUCGUCAACACCUACAAUUGGUAAAUCAAUUCCAUCGUUAGAACCACAACAAGAAGACAUGGCAUCUCCACAAACAGGAUCUCCUCGACUAACACCGACAGAUAAUAAAAAUCAUGUGAAACGAAAGGGUCAAACAACAACGCAACAUGUUAGAUCACCAAAUUCACCUUUGGAAGGUCAUUCUCCAAACGCACCCAAUGAAAAUGGUUCGUCGUUCCUACCACAUUCACCAUCAUCGUCACCUGGUCAAGAAGAAAGUGUGGAGAGUCCUUCAGGUUCCGCUAGGGAAACACCUACAAACGAAGCAAGUUUCAUUGGAAGAUCACCAAAUAAUAAUGAAGAUCAUUUGAAAACAUCAAGUGAGGCUCCUUCGUCAACACCUACAAUUGGUAAAUCAAUUCCAUCGUUGGAACCACAACAAGAAGACAUGGCAUCUCCACAAACAGGAUCUCCUCGACUAACACCGACAGAUAAUAAAAAUCAUGUGAAACGAAAGGGUCAAACAACAACGCAACAUGUUAGAUCACCAAAUUCACCUUUGGAAGGUCAUUCUCCAAACGCACCCAAUGAAAAUGGUUCGUCGUUCCUACCACAUUCUCCACCAUCGUCACCUGAUCAUGAAGAAAUUGUGGAGAGUCCUUCAGGUUCUGCUAGGGAAACACCUACAAACGAAGCAAGUUUCAUUAGAAGAUCACCAAAUAAUGAAGAUCAUUUGAAAACAUCAAGUGGGGCUCCUUCGUCAACACCUACAAUUGGUAAAUCAAUUCCAUCGUUGGAACCAAAACAAGAAGACAUGGCAUCUCCUCAAACAGGAUCUCCUCUGCCAACACCGACAAAUAAAGAAAAACGUGUGAAACGAAAGGGUCAAACGACAACGCAACAUGUUGGAUCACGAAAUUCACCUUUGGAAGGUGAUUCUCCAAACGCACCCAAUGAAAAUGGUUCGUCGUUUCAACCACAUUCUCCAUCAUCGUCAC
rnacentral:lncRNA from 1 species